rnacentral:pre_miRNA from 1 species
UUAACUCAAAUUUGUAUGGAGUUCGAACGUUUGCUUACGUUUGCCGCUAGUGGCGCUGUUCCAACUGCAUACAAAUUUCGUUA